AUACUUACCUGGACGGGGUCGACGGCCGAUCAAGAAGGGCCGUGGCCUAGAUCAAUGGCUCACAUUGCACUUGGUGAGCGCGUUGGUUUACCAUCUCCCCAAGUGGGAGAGUGGACGUCAUAAUUUGUGAUAGAGGGGGUACGCGUUCGCGCGGCCCCUG
rfam:Oryza sativa Japonica Group DNA, chromosome 3, cultivar: Nipponbare, complete sequence.